CUCAAAGUUGGAACCUGUUUGGCCUAGCUAAACCGGAUUGUAAACUGUAGAAGUGUUUUCCAGGCAAGCCGGACCGAUAAGUCCUUUGGAACAGGGCAUCAUAGAGGGUGAGAAUCCCGUCUUCGGUCUGAGCAUUUGCCUUUUGCGAUACACUUUCAAAGAGUCAGGUUGUUUGGGAAUGCAGCCUAAAUUGGGUGGUAAAUCUCACCUAAAGCUAAAUAUUGGCGAGAAACCGAUAGCGAACAAGUACCGUGAGGGAAAGAUGAAAAGAACUUUGAAAAGAGAGUUAAACAGUAUGUGAAAUUGUUAAAAGGGAACCGUUUGGAGCCAGACUGGCUUGUCUGUAAUCAGUCUAAGCUUCGGCUUGGAUGCACUUGCAGGCUAUGCCUGCCAACGACAAUUUGGCUUGAGGGAAAAAACUAAGGGAAAUGUGGCCCAUCCGUGGGUGUUAUAGUCCCUUAGAAAAUACCUUGGGCUGGAUUGAGGUACGCAGCGAAUGCUAUUUGGCGAGUUGGCUGGGAAUAUUUUCUGAGGUGCUUUGGUACUGAGGUUGAUAUUCCUAGUUACACUUCUAUU
rnacentral:rRNA from 4 species